AACAAACGCUGGCGGCGUGCCUAAUACAUGCAAGUCGAACGGGGAAAGCUUUCGGGCGAGUACUAGUGGCGCACGGGUGAGGAACACGUGGAUAAUCUGCCUUGGAGAGGGGGAUAACUAGUCGAAAGAUUAGCUAAUACCGCAUAAGACCACAGGAACUGAGGUUCUAGGGGUCAAAGGUUUUUCGCUCCAAGAUGAGUCCGCGUAAGAUUAGCUAGUUGGUGAGGUAAUGGCUCACCAAGGCGACGAUCUUUAACUGGUCUGAGAGGAUGAUCAGUCACACUGGAACUGAGACACGGUCCAGACUCCUACGGGAGGCAGCAGUAGGGAAUAUUGCACAAUGGAGGAAACUCUGAUGCAGCGACGCCGCGUGAGUGAUGAAGGCCUUCGGGUCGUAAAGCUCUGUCGCAGGGGAAUAAAAAAAUGAAGGUACCCUGCAAGAAAGGAUCGGCUAACUUCGUGCCAGCCGCCGCCGUAAGAC
rnacentral:rRNA from 1 species